rnacentral:lncRNA from 1 species
UUCAUGCAGGAAGUGGAAUUUCAUGGCUGCAAAACAGUUCUAGUGCUACCAGCAUUGAGUACAGGAGGUGUCCUCUAUAUUCCAAGUUUCCUACACAACCUGCUGACGUUGCCUCGGUCGAAGACCUUUUUGAAUUUAUUUGCUCAGGACCUUUGCUCGACAAAAUAGGCGUGACGCAAGAGAAGGUGGCUGACUCCAUAGAUAAGUGGUUAUCAUAUGGUCGGUAUAUAUGCCAGUUGUUUCAACUUAAUGAGCUGUACCUAACUGAGCCUCAAAAAGCUCGAGUUUAUCACUACUAUAUACCAGUCUUUAUAUGGUGUGAAGAUCAGAUUGUUCAGCAUCAGUCCAAGUUCAACGAAGAAGACGAAAUACCUCCUUUAGUUGUAUAUUUUCGGAUUCCUCCCUUCCAUGAUUCUCUAUCUCCUAUAGUUUGUUUUCUGCGUGUAUUUAUGUAAUGCAGUUUAAUAUGAAGGGUGCAUAAGCUAUAAGCGCGACCAAAAUUAUUCGGAUUUUUUAAUUGUUGAAGGGAUUCAUAAAUAUCUUUUCACUUUUAUGACUCAGAUUGGAUUUAGUGCUCCUCAAGGAUGUGGAAAGACAACCCUUGUUUUUGCUCUUGACUAUCUUUUCCAAAGAACUGGCAGGUAGGCCCUGAAUUUUGACGCAACGCUACAAGAUAGAAUAAUAUAUCAUUUUCCUAAAUUAAAACAUCAGCUCAACUCCUCCCCAAUAUUAGAUAAUGGGGUAAUGAGUUAUCAAAUAUAAAAUUUAUAAUUUAUUUUAUUUGAAAUUAAGUUAAAAUUAAAAUUGUUGAAUUUUUUUUUUUGCCUAUUUUAUAAUCGUAAUAUGGGAAUAUACAUACAAAAUCCAUAGUAGGACACCUCUUAUCUUAAUUUGUCGGCUCUGGAUUUUGUAAAUUAAAUUAAAAGUAAUGAUUUGAAGUUAAGGACAAACAUAAAUUUGUUUUAUUCUUUCAUCUUUUUUAUGGCCAUCCUCUUCCAAGUUCCAAUCUUUUGUGUACUCUGAUUUCAACUUAAGCUUUUUUGCAUUGAUACCCACAAGUAGAGAGAGAAAACUACACGUAAAAAUGGCGACUUUGAAUGUUUUCUCUCAGACAUGCCAACCUUGUUGUACAAUAAUUUCACCUUUCGUGCCUUGUUGUAACACUAACAACUAUGGCUAUUAUGCCCAUAAUAAUAGUAAUAAUAAUUCUAACAAUUGUAAAUUUCAGUUGACUACCCACUUCUCAAAAUCAGGUACUUUUUCUUCACUUUAUUGUCUCUUUGUCUUCUUUUUUAAUUCCGGUGUGUAUAUGUGUUUAUAUAUAUAUAUAGUAGCUACUAACAACAAGUGUUGGUCUAGUAGUGUAAGACAGCUAAAUCCCAGAACGACCAAAAUGUAGGGUUUGAUUCCUGGGAGUGAGCCGAAUCAACUCGAUAUUCGUUCGAAACUCGAUUGGUUAUUUAGAUCGAGAAACUUGGUUCAUGAACCAAAUGAGUUGAUUUUGAGCAUGAAAUUAAGCUCGUUAAAUAAUUAAUGAGUUGACUCGAUAUAUAUAUUUAUAUAAUCUAUUUUUUAUGAUACAUGUAUUACUUUUAUAUUUAUUGUUAUUAUAUAUAUAAAAAAAAUUAUAUUUAUAUGUAUAAACAAUAUUUCUUUAAAAAUAAUUAAUUAUUUGAGUUAAUGAACCAAUUCAAUUUGAGUCAAACAGUACACGAACUUUAACCGAACCGAAUUUGAGCUAAAAAAAUAACUCGUAUCGAACUUGAGUCGAGUUUCAAGCUGAACUCUAGUUAGACUCUGUUCAGCUUAUUUCCAACCCUACCUGAGAGUGACACUUGUUGGGAGGGGUAGUCACGUAUCCCGAAAGGUGAGGAGUACUCUUGGUACUGCAAAAAAUAGUAGCUACUUAGUGAGAACACUUUUUUAUUGUAAGAGAUUAGAAAGAUGAAUCUUGACAAUUGAAUCCUAUUUGAAUCAUUAAAAUUAGAAGUUAAUUGCAUUCCACUUCUUUUUUAAGUGGUUAUGUAUGAUUAAGUAACUUAAUCUUGGUUAUGCCAAUAUGGUCAAGAUUGAUUGUUAUCACAUUCUUAAAAAGCAAAGUGUUCUCUAACUACUAAAUGACAUUUCACUUGAAGAUGAAUGAGUGAAUUGAGCUAUUAUAUGUGUAUUCAGAUUAUUAAAUGUAAUUUGAGUUGAAGAUUUUCUGAUAACUCUUGAGUUUGCUUGAUAAUUGAUGCAAUUCAGCUCACUUUGUCAUAUUCAUACCACAGAUUAUUUGGCCUUCAAUUUUGACUCACCUUCUAUGAUCCUUCAGUCAUAAAUAGGAGUAAAAAAAUGAAAUGAGCAUUAGAAGCUUCAUUCUCAUCUUCAGCAGAUACAUUAUAUGUGCUUAUACUGUUGGAAUUUAUUUGCUUAAUCUUUGAUUUUCAAUAACAAUUCUUCAUGCAGGAAGUGGAAUUUCAUGGCUGCAAAACAGUUCUAGUGCUACCAGCAUUGAGUACAGGAGGUGUCCUCUAUAUUCCAAGUUUCCUACACAACCUGCUGACGUUGCCUCGGUCGAAGACCUUUUUGAAUUUAUUUGCUCAGGACCUUUGCUCGACAAAAUAGGCGUGACGCAAGAGAAGGUGGCUGACUCCAUAGAUAAGUGGUUAUCAUAUGGUCGGU